rnacentral:rRNA from 1 species
AAUGAACGCUGGCGGCAUGCCUAACACAUGCAAGUCGAACGAUGCUUUCGGGCAUAGUGGCGCACGGGUGCGUAACGCGUGGGAAUCCACCCCUGGGUUCGGAAUAACAGUUGGAAACGACUGCUAAUACCGGAUGAUGACGUAAGUCCAAAGAUGUAUCGCCCAGGGACGAGCCCGCGUAGGAUUAGCUAGUUGGUGGGGUAAAGGCCUACCAAGGCGACGAUCCUUAGCUGGUCUGAGAGGAUGAUCAGCCACACUGGGACUGAGACACGGCCCAGACUCCUACGGGAGGCAGCAGUGGGGAAUAUUGGACAAUGGGCGAAAGCCUGAUCCAGCAAUGCCGCGUGAGUGAUGAAGGCCUUAGGGUUGUAAAGCUCUUUUGCCCGGGAUGAUAAUGACAGUACCGGGAGAAUAAGCCCCGGCUAACUCCGUGCCAGCCGCCGCAGUAA